CCUACGGGUGGCUGCAGUAGGGAAUAUUGGGCAAUGGUCGGAAGACUGACCCAGCCAUGCCGCGUGCAGGAAGAAGGCCUUCUGGGUUGUAAACUGCUUUUAUCUAGGAAGAAAACGCCCAUGCGUGGGAAACUGACGGUACUAGAUGAAUAAGCACCGGCUAACUCCGUGCCAGCAGCCGCGGUAAUACGGAGGGUGCAAGCGUUGUCCGGAUUUAUUGGGUUUAAAGGGUGCGUAGGCGGCCUAUUAAGUCAGUGGUGAAAGCCAGCAGCUCA
rnacentral:rRNA from 1 species